rnacentral:precursor_RNA from 8 species
CCUAGAAGCGGAAGGAGCCUUCCUCAGGGCUCUGGCAGCCUCUCAUCAAAGGACGUGGUCUUGCUUUGGGUGAGGGUCUGCCUAGAGCCUUGGAUGAAGGUUUCCCAUCUGGCCGACC